AUCCAGCUGACGAGUCCCAAUUAGGACGAAACGUGAUUCCUGGAU
rfam:Schistosoma mansoni strain Puerto Rico chromosome 2, complete genome